rnacentral:tRNA from 1 species
GUCUAGCUCAGUGGUAGAGUGCGUGCCUAGCAUGCACGAGGUCCUGGGUUCCAUCCCCAAUAAACA